AUUGAACGCUGGCGGCAGGCUUAACACAUGCAAGUCGAGCGGAGAUGAGGUGCUUGCACCUUAUCUUAGCGGCGGACGGGUGAGUAAUGCUUAGGAAUCUGCCUAUUAGUGGGGGACAACACUCCGAAAGGAAUGCUAAUACCGCAUACGUCCUACGGGAGAAAGCAGGGGAUCUUCGGACCUUGCGCUAGUAGAUGAGCCUAAGUCGGAUUAGCUAGUUGGUGGGGUAAAGGCCUACCAAGGCGACGAUCUGUAGCGGGUCUGAGAGGAUGAUCCGCCACACUGGGACUGAGACACGGCCCAGACUCCUACGGGAGGCAGCAGUGGGGAAUAUUGGACAAUGGGGGGAACCCUGAUCCAGCCAUGCCGCGUGUGUGAAGAAGGCCUUAUGGUUGUAAAGCACUUUAAGCGAGGAGGAGGCUACUGAGACUAAUACUCUUGGAUAGUGGACGUUACUCGCAGAAUAAGCACCGGCUAACUCUGUGCCAGCAGCCGCGGUAA
rnacentral:rRNA from 1 species